rnacentral:rRNA from 1 species
GACGAACGCUGGCGGCGUGCUUAACACAUGCAAGUCGAACGGUAAGGCCCUUCGGGGUACACGAGUGGCGAACGGGUGAGUAACACGUGGGUGACCUGCCCUGCACUUCGGGAUAAGCCUGGGAAACUGGGUCUAAUACCGGAUAGGACUCCGGACUGCAUGGUCGGGGGUGGAGAGCUUUUGCGGUGUGGGAUGGGCCCGCGGCCUAUCAGCUUGUUGGGGGGGUGAUGGCCUACCAAGGCGACGACGGGUAGCCGGCCUGGGAGGGUGACCGGCCACACUGGGACUGAGAUACGGCCCAGACUCCUACGGGAGGCAGCAGUGGGGAAUAUUGCACAAUGGGCGCAGGCCUGAUGCAGCGACGCCGCGUGAGGGAUGACGGCCUUCGGGUUGUAAACCUCUUUCAGCAUCGACGAAGCGAAAGUGACGGUAGGUGCAGAAGAAGGACCGGCCAACUACGUGCCAGCCGCCGCCGUAA